CGUAACACGUAUGUAACCUACCUUCUUCAGGGGGAGUAGCCUCUCGAAAGAGAGAUUAAGACCGCAUAACAUCAUUGAAUAGCAUUAUUUAAUGAUCAAAUAUUUAUAGGAAGAAGAUGGGCAUGCGGAACAUUAGCUAGUUGGUAAGGUAACGGCUUACCAAGGCUACGAUGUUUAGGGGAUCUGAGAGGAUGGCCCCCCACACUGGUACUGAGACACGGACCAG
rnacentral:rRNA from 1 species